UCUACGGGGGGCUGCAGUGGGGAAUAUUGCACAAUGGGGGAAACCCUGAUGCAGCGACGCCGCGUGAGCGAUGAAGGCCUUCGGGUCGUAAAGCUCUGUCCUAAGGGGAGAUAAUGACGGUACCUUAGGAGGAAGCCCCGGCUAACUACGUGCCAGCAGCCGCGGUAAUACGUAGGGGGCGAGCGUUGUCCGGAAUUACUGGGCGUAAAGGGUGCGUAGGCGGUCAUGUAAGUCAGAUGUGAAAGCCCUCGGCUUAACCGAGGUAAGCAUUUGAUACUGGUUAACUUGAGUGUAGAAGAGGAGAGUGGAAUUCCUAGUGUAGCGGUGAAAUGCGUAGAUAUUAGGAGGAACACCAGUGGCGAAGGCGACUCUCUGGUCUAUAACUGACGCUGAGGCGCGAAAGCGUGGGGAGCAAACAGGAUUAGAUACCCCUGUAGUC
rnacentral:rRNA from 1 species